UAGUAAACGUUGACGGGAAGAGUACACUUUCAAAAGCUUAUGUAGAGAGCUGGGGUAGGUGAAAGCCAGUUAAGUGAAGGAAGUGGAAGAUGGUCCUUGAGUUUCGUUCAUGAACGGUCAUUGUAAUGAUGGCGGAUAAGGAGCGACGUAUUCCUGCGUUAUAGGAGAGUAGCUGUUGACUACUUACCGAGUCCGUUUCUGUGAAGGAACGGAGCAUUUGGGUGGUACCGCGAGUACAAGACUCGUCCCAAUU
rnacentral:ncRNA from 1 species